rnacentral:lncRNA from 13 species
AACGUCCACGUUUCCCCUGGUCCAUCAGAACAUCGGUCGCCUCCCCUCAGCUGUCUGCAGCCUGCCCUGCCCCUAGGUGCUUGAGAGAUGCGCUUUCAAAUGACACGUUGAGAUUCAGCAGUCAAUACUCAAAUCUAGUGAGUCGGGAGCACAUUUCUUUCCCGAAUAAAAUAGUAACGCUCUCAAAGAUAUGAUUCUGUACAGCCCUCUGGUCAGAUAUUCCAGCGACUCAAUGAAUUCCUUUACCUACGAGGAAGAUGGCAGAGGCCAGGGUUUGUGCCGCCGUCUCCAGGGAAUAAAGGAGAAGAGUAAACAUUCUAUCUCAUCAACUUUAAGCUUGACCCUGUGGCCAACGGAAUGUGAAUUUCACAUAGAAUCCUUAUGAAGCAUCACAAAUUUGCAACAGAGCCCUUGCUCUUCUCCUGUGCUGUCAAGCUUCCUCUCUCAUCUAUUUCACUGAAUGAGAAGACAUGUGAAACAGACCUAUAGCUUGGCUGCAGUCAAUCCACAGCUGAAAUAUAACAUGAGCAAGGAAUAAGCCUUUGUUGUUGUAAGCCAGUAAGAAUUUCGAGUUUUUGUUACUGCAGCAAAACUCAUACAAAGAGGAUUCAACAAUUCAUUGACGAGAAGUAGUCCAAGGAGAAAGUUGCGAAAGUGCAAAAAUGAUAAUCUAAGAAAGAAAUUGUGACUGGAAGCUGGGAAGUCGGGACAGCCACUAAGAAUGGGAAUAUAAAUUUGGGUGGGUAAAUACUUUAAAUUUUGCCAGAUGUCUUCUUUUAUAUUAUACUGCCAAGUGGUUAUAAGUAGGGGCUCUGAGACCAGGCACUUGGGUUCUAAUUCACAAUCCUCCAUUGGCAAAUUGUUUGUCUUUGGUCAAGUUACAUAAAGUCUUCUCUAAAACAGGAUAAUAAAUAGGAUUGUAUACUCA